GCUCUUUGCCAUCACCAUGAGAAGAAUAUACCCUGGCUAGCUACUGGCUCCAAACGGAGAAUGGAGAAUACGUAAGCAGAACCACCCCAGCAAACCCAAAGACUACCGAUAAGGUCAUCUAGACUAAAGAUUCCCAGUCUCCCUUCAAGCAAGUUCAUUUCAUGAAAUAUUUAGCGUUGGGCUGCCAGUGUGCCUUGACUGGCUUUGGGAUAGAUGAUUAUCCAUGGUUGGACAUGAGGAGGUGAGUGAAAAGGCUGUAAGGUCUGCCUUUCAAGGGUCUAUGGUUACAGUAGAUUCUAGAAAAUGAGUGUCUAGGAAAGUAAGUGACAGACAUGUCUACUAUACUUGUCAAAAAUUUGGAAAGUUAAGAAGAGUUUUAAGGAAUAUUUAAAUAAUAUAUCAUUACUAUUCUUAAAUAUUCAUGAAGAAGAUUAUGCUAUAUUUCUCUCCAGUCUCUGUAUAUGCAUGUAUAUAGUUGUGAUCUUAUGUAUGUGUGUAGACUUUUUUGUUUUUUUGUUUUGUUAUUCUGGAUAUAGCAUAAAGAUUUCCUUACAUCAUUAAAAACAUUAAAAGAUAAAUUAUAAAUGGCUGCAUUUUAUUAAAUUAUUUGGGUAUGUGAUUCACUUAGCUAUAUUCCUCUGAUAUUGCAAAUGUAGUAUGUUUCCAACAUUAUAAAUAUUUUGAUGAAAUUCUUUGUUCACAAUUUUUUUUCUGCAUUUUAGAUUUUAAUCUUUUUUUUUCUUUUCCUUUUUUUUGGUAGAUUUUUGGUAUGUAGUAAGGAAGCUGGGUAUGAAAACUUUUAAUGCUUUUGAAUUUUGCCAAGUUAAUUGUCAAGUUUCUGAAAGGAUUUUAUCAUUUUACAACACUGCUUCUGUUAAUCCUUUGUACUCAUGAUCUAGUGAUGCACUAAAGAAAUAUAAUAGUCCUGAGAAUAUGAGUCUUGUUAAAACUUAAUUCCAACUGCAAGGAGAGAGAUCUAGUUUUGUACUUUAUCCAACUAAAAAACAUAUGUUCUAUGAAAUAGUGGCAGAGUCAUGAAAAGUACUAGCCAUCUUUUUUUGUGUGAAAUAUCUGUUAUAAUUACAUUUGUUUGCAUCAGUUAUCUUCACAUCAUUGCCUCAACAUAGCCUGAGCAUAAUGUGAUGAAUUGUUUCAGGUUGGUCACUCUAUAGAUAAUGUUCUUGUGCUUUUUAUAGCAGAAAACUAUUUAUGACCUUUCUCAAUCUUUAUACUAGUAUUAAAUUGUAUUAUCUAGCCUAAAAUAAUGACCUCAUCAGUGAUUGGCAUCAUAUUCUCUGUGUCCUCAUACUGGAUGGCCACUCUGAUGUCUUAUAAUCUUAAACCCUAUGACUGAUGAUCUUUCUAGAGGAAACUCCUCAGAAAAUAAAGUGACAGCAUAAAGAUUGAGGGCUGGCUCUGAAGUCACACAGACAUGGUUUCAUACCACAUAUCUGCUUCUGUUACAUAUUAGCCUGGAUGACCUAAGAAACUGUUUGAUUUCCAGCAAAAUGUAAUUCAACUGAGAAAAAAAUAAAACUAUGAGCUUUCCAAUAGAAAAGCAUCAGCAUCACAGCUUUCAGAAUGAAUAUCAGAAACUUGAAAGACAAAUCUUGGAGACAACAAAACAGGAGUCUUUUAAGAAAUGCUGCAUCACCAACAAAAUUUGAUGAAACAGAGAAUAAUAUUGUGUUGAAAGUCAUGGAAAACAAUGACUACAAAUUAAAAACAAAAUAUAGUAGAGUUAGAUUUUAUGAAGAAGUUUUUAGGAAUAAACAAGCCAAUUUCCUUAACUAACAUUUUCCUCAUGUGAUAUAUGUUAAAUAUCUAUACCUAAAUAGAUAUGUUUUCAAUAAAAAUUAGAAGUGAAAGAGCAUUUAUAACUAGUGUUAGUGCAAGUUCAUGUGCCCGAAGCACAGUGAGGCCAAACAAAUUGGAACGUCAGGAGUUUGGAGUAGAGAAAGGUUUAUUGCAGGGCCAUGCAAGGAGGUGGGUGGCUCAUAUCCUAAAAAGCCCUGAGCUCCCCAAAGGGUUUUGGCAAAGCAUUUUAAAAGCCAGGUUGCGGGCCUGGGGUGGGUGUGGGUGUGUCACAGGGUACGUGAUCUGCUCAUGCAUGUUCUGUCUGGCUGAUGUUGAGGGAACAGGGUGGUGUCACAAGGUUAACAUUAUCAGUCCUUAGGCUCCAGGAGGCUCAUGGUCAUCAAGUAGUUAACAUCUUCCAUUCGGUCAGGGGUUUUCACAUCUGUAAAACAAUUCAGGAAAUGUGCAUCCAAUACUGUUAUCUAGAUACUUCAGAGAGGAGCUAAAGCAAAGGAUAUGGGGGAAGGCCUCAUAGGGUCCUGCUUGGUUACAUUAGAAGCAUUUGCUAAUACUGUAUCAUAAAAGAUAGUGGGACAUCUUCUAAUACAAUAAUUUAUUAUAACUUCCAUGAUCUAAUAGUAUAGUAUUUUAAAGCACUUUUUAAAAAUGUCUUAAGCCCAAAUUUAAGGAUAUGUAAUAUUUAAAUAUUAAAAUGCCCAUGUAUUGGUUGAUCCCUUUUGCCCAUCUGGUAUUACAGAAGUAUUAGGCUAUCCCUUGUUGAAUCUUCCUCACCUGUUUGUCUAAUAACAGAGGAAAAGGAAGAGUGACUACAUUAUCACAAUCAUGGCUUACAGUGAUUGAAUACCUCCAGUUAUUGAGCUGAGUGUUCUUUGUGGGCUACCUCAUAUAAUCCUGACAAACAUCUGAACACGACAUAAUUCUAUACACCAUUCCAGUAUGCAAAUGAGGAAACUGAAGCUGAGAGAAAUUACGCUCAACGUCACAUACUUAGUACGCAGUGGAGUCUGUAUUUAAAUUCAGGCAAUCUGGCUCCAGAGUCUGUGCUCUUCCCCUCUGUUCUAUGCAGGGAGGUUAUAUUGCAUAGUGAUUAAAGCAUAGACACAGAAGACUGAUUGGUUGGGUUAAAAUUCCACUCUGUCACUAACCAGUUGUGUGACUUUAGAAAAAUGACUUGACCGCUCUGUCUCAAUUUUCUCUUCUGCAAAAUGGUUAUGAAAAUAGUAAUAAUAGUAUCUUCCUCAUUAGGAUGUUUUAAGGAUAAAUAAGUUAAUAUAUGUAAAGCAUUUAGAACAAUGUCUGGUAUAUGACUUGCAUUAUCUAAAUGUUAACUAAUAUUAUACAAUCUCCUUUAUAUUAUGAUUGGCCGGAAGGGGGGUUAUCUGCCCUGAAAGAAACAACCUGAUGAUCUCAGAAAAAUCUAUCUGUACACACUCAUUGUCAGCAGAAUACCAAGCGAGAUGGCUCUUUUCCAGUUGUUCUAUUUAAUUGAAAAAUUAGGAUUAAAGGUCAGCAUUUUUUUUAAUGAGUUUUCCUAUAGCCACAUUAACGCUACUCUUUAAAUUGGUGCUCAGUGGAUCUUUGUAUUUUCUCAUUGAUGUUAGCAAAUACAAAUUUAAAGUCAUUGUUAUAUUCCCCUCUUUCGGAACUAGAUAUGAGUACUCUAAAGUUUGCUUCAUGUUGUUAAAUGCUUUUUUUUUCCCCAAUGUGAGAAUGCUAAGAAAGUUUAAAAGGACACCUGAAAAAUCACAAUAACAGGUCAUAUAGGUAUAGAGAUUAUUAUUGAAAUGUACUUAAUGUUGUAUUCUUUUUCCAAGAAUUGUGUUGUCAUAAAUCCUUCUUGAUAGAACCAAGAAUUUGUUAUGGCCCUGAAAGUUACCCAUGCUUUAGGGGAUCAUAUUAUAACAUAGAGGGUAGAUUACACAGUGACACAGAUCUGGAUUUUAAUCCUUGUUCUGUUAAUUACUAGUUGUAUGACUUUGAGGAAAUUGUUUAACUUUUAUGAGUUUCUGUUUCUUAGUAAGCAUUGAAUAAAUAUCUAUUUUAUAGGCCAGUUGUGAGGAUUAAAAAAGUAAAUUAAUAUAAAAUAUCUAAUACAGAGACUCGAAAACAAUUGUUUACUGUUCUCCUGUUUCCUUACACCCAUCCUCUGCCCCAGGCUUUUUCAAAAAGUAGGGCCACUGCUAGGAUGUAUGGGACACCAAGAAAAUACUUCUGAUGUGUCUCACUGUAGAAAUAAGUAAAUUGACUUUAAAAACUACAAAAUUCAUGGGCCCUUAGGACGCAUAGUGAUAUAUUAAUGAAGAUUUAGAAUAGCGGCUAGAGAAGAGGCACAUACAUAUUUAUUUAUUGCCAAUCAGUGCAAAUAAAGAUUCUUCAUAGUAUUCAGACACUACCCCCUCCUGUUUAAGUUUAGGAACCAUUUCUUUUCGUUCUUUAUUGUCAAAGGUGUGAUUUCUGUCUAACGUCAUAGCUCCCACCACAAGAAUAAGAUAUCAAUACUUAUUUUUCACAAGGCCAUGGCUCUUUAAAACAUAUUUUUGUUGGAACAAUACUGGUCUUUUUGCCUCUGCAUUUCCAAUACUAUUUAUUUAAUGCUGGUGUUAAAAAACAAACAAACAAAAAAACCUCCAAAAUUCAACUGAGUAAAGAUCUAAUUGGCUUUAUUCAACAAUUCAAGUAUCAGGCAGCAUCCCAUCUAGAAAAUAGAGAGGACCUCUGAAGAGCUGUACAAAAUGAAAAUCUUUAUAGGCAUAAGGGGUGGGAAAAGGAAGCUCUAGCAAGGAGUGGAUUGUUUCAGGCAAGGUCACCAGCAGUAUGUGCAGUUAGGUCCCCAUUUCAUUUCUAAUCCUUUUUAUUUGGGCCUUCCCUCUUUUCACCUGAUCAAUUUUAUAUAUUUUAUUGACUAUUAAUAUUUUUGAAAAAUGAUUUUUUCUGUAUUUGUUCUCUAUUUUGUUGUUCCAUAGUUUUUUUUUUAUCUUUAUUACUUCUUUCCUUCUACUUUUGUAUCUAAUUUGCUGUUUUAUUUUUCUAAAUUAUUAUGAUUAUUGAUUUCUCAUUUUUACUAUAUGCAUUUAAGGCUGUAACUAUUCUUCUAUAUAUGACUUUGACUAUAGCAUCCAAGUUUUAAUAUAGUAAUUUUAAUCAGUUCAAAAAUAUUUUCUGAUUAUAAUUAGUAUUUCUACCUUGGCCCAUGAAGCAAUGUGAAGUUUUUCUUGAUUUGCAAACGUAUAAUGAUUUUUUAGUUAUUUGUGGGUUAGUUAUUUAUUCAGCUUAAUUUCACUGUGAUCAGGUAGUGUGGUAUGUAUGUUAUUAAUAUUUCAGAACUUUUAAGACUAGCUUUAAGGCUCAGUAUAUGGUUGUAUUUCAUCAAUGUGUGAUAAAAUUUGUCACUAUGAUGAUAAAUUUGAUAUUUUAUGUAGUUCUAUUAAAAGUAGUUUUAUAUAUAUUUGGACCUAUAAAAGUUUAGAAGUGUUGUGUAAUCUUGAUAAAUUAAAACAUUGUUUAUGGACCUUCUUUAGCUCUAGGGAGAUAUCUAUAUCUGUAUCUAUAUUCUUAAAUGCAAUUUUUAGUUUAUAAUUAUUAUAGUUAUGUGAGCAUUACUUUGUUUAGCAUUUGCCUGAUUUUUUUCCAAAUUGGUUUUCAACCUUUCAGCAUCUCCUGCUGAUUUUCAUCAUAUUUAGUAUAAUUAACAAACUAAAUAUUUUGACUCUGUGCUUUACCAUUUUUCCUUUAAUGGGCAAAAGAAAAUGAAAGGUAUCUCUAAAGGGAAAAACAGAAUU